GGGCGGCCAAUGCUUGCACCAUGGAAGUAAAAAUCUCUGCUACAAGUUCACAGAAAAUCAAACAUGUAAUGUUCAUUAUAAAAGGAAAGUGCAAAACCACGUUAUGUUUAAGCCUUUCUUUGUAUAAGAAUAUUUAUGGAGCCAAGAUCAAGACCUGCAUUAGCUGUUUGGAUCUAGAAUAUUGAAGCUAUGUGAUGAUAUGUUUUAAUUGUCA
rnacentral:lncRNA from 1 species